rnacentral:lncRNA from 1 species
CUGGGUGCUGGCCCUCUCCCAGUCACCGUAAUGUGUGAUAGUAUCUGUUCCCCUUUGGCAUUAAAGGUAACGGGAGGAAAUGCACCCUCUGCCCCGCAGUGGGCAGAACUGGGCUGUACAAACUGAACCUGGAUGGCCGUGCACUGCCCUAGCCCAGGUGGGGGAGAAGAGGGGGAAUUGAAAGAAUACCAAGAGUAUGUUGUGCAGACAUGGGUGUGAUAAAGGCAUCACAGCAAGGCCGCUUGUGUCUGACAAGGCCGUUCCUAUCUUGCAGAAGGCCAGGCCUGCACCCUGCCUGUGGAGAGCCUGUGGAGACAGCCAGAUGAAUAACAAAGGCAGGGAAGAGUCUCACCUGUGGAGGAGGUUGGGUGAGAGUGGAGCAGCUGGAGUGGCAGCACCAGGCGGCAGAGACUGGAGGCAGACCUGCUGCUGAAGGAUGAACCACGCACCUGCCAGGAGAACAUUCAGCAGCUGGAGGCCAAGAUGCAGGAGCAGGCCACCAGGAUUGGGAGCAAGGCAGUGGGAGCCGUGGAGGGGAAGCUGAGGGAAGCAAGAGAUGCUGGAGAAGGGCUGUAGAGGAAGAGCCGGCAGGACUGCAUAAGAGAGCUCCAAGCUGAGGGGGAGAUAACCAGACACCCCAAGAUCUGUCACGCAUCCUAAGGGCUUUGGCAUCAUUAGCAAAACUCUAAGGCAGAGGUUCCCAAACUGUGGUUCAUGACACAUCUCUGGGGGGUACACAGGAGAAAUUGUGAAAUGGGGGAUUUUAUUUAUUAACUAUUUUAUUUAUUGCAUUUUCAUAACAGGCUACUCAGACAAAGCUUAAAAAAUGUGGGAAUUCGUUAUAUAAAAUAUGAUAGUUAAUUUACUUCAAAAUUUAUCAAUGAGUACACAGAGACACAGACAUACAGAGCCCUCACCUCCAAUCACGAAACAGUGCGGGCUCAGUGGCCCAGCAACUGUCCAGAAUAAUUGAGCCCAGAACUUAGUCAAGGGGUUUUUUUUUGGUUGUAUACAUCACAUUUUAACUAACGAUAUCUGUACAUAACAGUGAAAUAUGGACAGAUGGCUUAAAACGGUUAGUGCGAAGAACAUACAUAUCAGUGAUGAGAAGGGUGGAGUACACAGGCAGCUGGUAUCUAAAAGGGUGUCAUAAGGAGGAGGGAGAAAACUUGUUCAUCUUAGCCUCUAAAGAUAGAACAAAAGGCAAUGGUCUUAAACUGCAGCAAGGGAGGUUUAGGUUAGGCAUUAGGAAAAAGUUCCUAAACUGUCAGGAGAGUUAAACACUGGAGUAAAGUGCCUAGCAAAGUUACAGAAACUCAUCUCUGAAGCUAUUUAACAGUACAUUAAAUAAAUGUCUAUCAGGUAUGGUCUACA